rnacentral:misc_RNA from 1 species
UUUCCGUAGGUGAACCUGCUGAAGGAUCAUUACCGAGUGGGGGUUUCUCAGGCACGACCUCACACCCUGUGUUUUUGUGACCUUGUUGCUUUGGCGGGCCCGCCUCGAUGCUAGGCCGCCGGAAGGUGACCGCUUUGGGCCCGUGACCGUCAGUAGCACCCUUAAAUUCUUAAUAAACCUGUCGUCUGAGUUAAGGGAUAUAAUGAAAAAAAACUUUCAACAACGGAUCUCUUGGUUCUG